rnacentral:lncRNA from 1 species
GGGAGCGGGGGAGCACAGCUGACAGGAAGAGAAAGCCAAGGGCAGCGCCGCGGGCACACCCACGGCGAGGAGCUGAGAGCGGGCGAUGCCAGCGCGGAAGCGAGCUGUCAGAAACCGGGAGGAGGCGAGGAAGACGUGGGAAAGUGCAGUGUCAUGGAGACCCAGGCAGGAGGCGUGGCCAGCCGCGCGCCGGGAGGCAGGUGCGCGGCCACAGGGUGGGGCCGAAGGUGGGCGGCCCAGGGCCACCUGUCCCGCCCGGGCGGCCGGGUUGAGCUGCCCCUCCGCGGGGGCGCCGCCGGGAGCCACGGCCUGGGCGCCGAAGGCCGAGUGGGCGCUCGGUGCAUUCGGGAGGAAACGCGGGAAGCCUGCACAUUUCCGGAUCUGGCAGGGAACGAGGCCUCUGACCCCCGCGUGUGAAGCCGGAGCUGCAUCUUUGUGCUUGGGUGGCGCCUCGGGACCUUUUCUCCGAACAAAGGCGUAAAUUAAAAUACUCUGGAUUACCAGCGGAACCAGUUCCAUUGAAAAACGGUUCCCAAAAUGUAUUUUUAAAACCGCAUUUCUAAUCUACCAGUUCCUUUCUCAGAUGCAUGAAAGAGCAAGCUCUGGCAAAGGGGCCGUGAUUUCAAAGGGAUGACGAACACGCACAGCGUGCGAGGACAGCUGCUUAGGCUGGGAAGGGAGUGAGCCAGCCAGCCGAGCCGUUUUCGGUCCGGGUUGGUGAAAAUAGCAAGGUCACUGUCACCCAUCCAAGUUCUUGGACCCCUCCCCCACUGCUGUCCCAGACUCUGAAAACGUUAAGAACGUCUGCUUUGAAGCAAUAGCCAAAAGCGCACCUUCCUUGGGGGCUGCACUGCCGGCUCCAGGAAGCCCAGGCUGCUCCCCUCCCAUCUUUAAGACACGCCAGAAAUGCCAGCGCUUAGGUCCCUUCUGUUAGGUGUUAGCAAAACAGUCCCAUUUGAAAGCGGCCUUUGAGAGUCCAAGGUAACCCAGUUGCGACCUGGAGACCUGGACUUGGGGCCGCCUGCGGGAGGGGUCCUCGGUGGGGCUGGACACCCCCCUGCAGGCCUGCGGUCUUCCAGGGGAGCCUGAUGGGACGUCUUUGACCCAGGGCUCCAGUCUAGACACGCGGCAGGCGACGACCCCACCCGCAGUCAACCACCACAGCCAACCUAGCAAUUGUCUGUGCCACCUCAUGGGUUCUGCCUUCCCCCAGAGGGAACGGCUUCCCGCGCACUGUCCCACAGCGGGAGCUGGGUGCCCGGCCACAAACCCCGAACUCAGUCUCAGUUCUUGAGUAAUCAGGACUCUCUCUUAAGCACAGUAGAGUCUCAGCGACAGAAGGGGCUGCUGGGUCGAGGGUACGUUGUCCGCUGCAGGACGCUGUCCACCAGCAAGGAGUCCUGGUUCUUUCUGGUUUCCUUUUGUUCUCUGCUCUGUUAGGGUAUAGGACAUAUUGAACAAUGUCAGCUAUAUGCCCAAAG